UCUGAUGCAGCCAUACCGCGUGUAUGAAGAAGGCCUUAGGGUUGUAAAGUACUUUCAGCGAGGAGGAAAGGUGGUAACUUAAUACGUUAUCACUGUGACGUUACUCGCAGAAGAAGCACCGGCUAACUCCGUGCCAGCAGCCGCGGUAAU
rnacentral:rRNA from 1 species